GUUCCAAAUAAACUCAUUUGUGUUUAUUUGAUUCAUGUGAGGCCAACAUUAAUGAUGGGAGUCCACUGAUGGCACCGAAUUACAUGGGGUGCACUGUUGGUACUUUGCCAUACAUCA